rnacentral:lncRNA from 13 species
CAAAUCUAUUAAUCUCCCAGUACCUCAAUUCCCCAAAUGCAAAAUGGAGAUAAUAAAACAUAACUCCCUUAGCAGGGUAAACACAUUAAAAAAUGCACUUAAAAGCAGUUGGGUACUAGGUUAAUGGAGACCUAUAUCUUGUGGGGAAGAUUUGUUGUAUUAUAAAUAAUACAUCUUCACAAUUAUUCCACUUAGUCUGCCUUGAAGCCUUCAAAGACAUACCACGCAAAUGUUUACUGGCAGCAUGUUUCCCCCCUUUUAUUGGCCAACAACAUGUUUAGACCAGACUUUGCUGUGGCAAAGUAUUUCAGCACAUUGCACAUGGCAAAUGGCUCUUUUACUGUAAAAGUAGACUUUUUUUUUUUUUUUGAGAAUACCCCAAAUAAUGCUGUACUCAGCAAAGGCCUGUGCACCUGGAAUAGCUGUCUCUGAGCAGAUUUUCCUUGCAAAAUGUUCAGCAUGCUUCUGCCUAGAACUUUCGACAGAAACGGAGAAUGAAGAUGUGGCAUUAAAGGAUGUGUCUUUUUGGCUACUGCUCUGCUGGAGCUGAAACUUUCCCAAAACUCACAGCUAAGCAGUUCAGUGUGUGUUGCAUGGGACAGCUACAGAAUUCCAAUUACUGCAAUGAUGACCCUCUCUUGCUGUUCCCACUGGGUGUCAUAAACUCCAUGACUCCUUCCAAGAAACGUUAAGGGACUGUAGAAACCUAGUCCUGAUGACCCAGCUACAAUGUUCCAA